rnacentral:rRNA from 1 species
CAGUAGCCACGGUAAUACGUAGGGUGCAAGCGUUAAUCGGAAUUACUGGGCGUAAAGCGUGCGCAGUCGGUUAUAUAAGACAGAUGUGAAAUCCCCGGGCUCAACCUGGGAACUGCAUUUGUGACUGUAUAGCUAGAGUACGGCAGAGGGGGAUGGAAUUCCGCGUGUAGCAGUGAAAUGCGUAGAUAUGCGGAGGAACACCGAUGGCGAAGGCAAUCCCCUGGGCCUGUACUGACGCUCAUGCACGAAAGCGUGGGGAGCAAACAGGAUUAGAUACCCCGGUAGUCCCUGUCUCUUAUAC